UGCUAAUCUUGUCCUAGGAGUAGAUCUGCUCCGGAGUUGGUGCUACAAAGGGUUCCACGUGGGAGUUGUCUCUGAUUCUGCUCCAGUGUGGUCUCUCCCGACAUCACUUCUGACUAUCUCAAAGGAUGACGUGAUACUCAAUGCCUUCAGCAAAUCAGAGACUAGCAAGCUGGGAAAACACAGCUCCUGCGAGGUUAGCCUACUACUCUCUGAAGACGGGACCACACCCAAAUCCAAGAAGACUCAAGCUGGCCUUUCCCCUUAUCCCCAGAAACCCAGUUCCUCAAAGGAUAGUGAGGACACCAGCAAAGAGCCCAGCCUUUCUACCCAGACGUUACCUGUGAUCAAGUACUCUGGGCGGACUUCAAGACUUUCUACUUCCUCCACUUUCCAGUCAACCAGUGACUCCCUCCUGGCUGUGAGCCCGUAACUGGCCUCUCUCCAGAAGCCUCUGCCCAGGAGCAUGGGCAUCAGCUACCUCACGGGAACCAGCCUGCUGUUCAGACCAGUCUGAGCCCCUACCCCUUUCACCCUGUCCCUCUUC
rnacentral:sRNA from 1 species